CAGGAGUGUGUAACAACUCACCUGCCGAAUGAAUUAGCCCUGAAAAUGGAUGACGCUAAAGCGGGCAGCCGACACCACACCGUUUGAGGAAAAAAAGACUCAAAUGAGUAGGAGGAACGUGGCGGUCGUGUUGAAGCGUGCGUGCAAACGUGCGUGGAACGGCCGCUAGUGCAGAUCUUGGUGUUAGUAGCAAAUAUUCAAACGAGAACCUUGAAGGGCGAAGUGGGGAAGGGUUCCACGCGAACAUUGAUUGAGCGUGGGUAAGUCGUUCCUAAGCCGCGUGGCAAUAGCUAAUUACCGGCGAAAGGGAAGCAGGUUGAUAUUCCUGCACACGGAUGUGGAAGCGGUGACGCAUACUUGGGACGGUGAAGCUGGCGAUGGCUCUGGGCAGAGUUUUCUUUUCUGUUUAACUUCUGUGCUCGCAGUGUGGAAUCCGAUUGUCGGGAGAAACACGCGGGUCUGGGAAUAGCGCCGGGUUUUUUUCCGGCGUCCAGAACGCCAUCGUCGGACCUUGAAAAACUGUCUGCAGGCUUCUUUAUUGCAAAGUUGUCAAUAGUAAAAAUCCACGCCGUGACGUACCGAUAACCGCAUCAGGUCCCCAAGGUGAACAGCCUCUGCUCGAUAUGAAAAUGCAGG
rnacentral:rRNA from 1 species